UGGCGAACGGGUGAGUAACACGUGGGUGAUCUGCCUUGCACUCUGGGAUAAGCUUGGGAAACUGGGUCUAAUACCGGAUAGGAACCGUCUUCAGUGUGGUGGUUGGAAAGUUUUUCGGUGCAAGAUGAGCUCGCGGCCUAUCAGCUUGUUGGUGGGGUAAUGGCCUACCAAGGCGUCGACGGGUAGCCGGCCUGAGAGGGUGUACGGCCACAUUGGGACUGAGAUAAGGCCCAG
rnacentral:rRNA from 1 species